rnacentral:rRNA from 1 species
CGAGGGGCAGCGGGGGCGUAGCAAUAUGCCUGCCGGCGACCGGCGCACGGGUGAGUAACACGUAUGUAACCUGCCCUAUGCAGGGGGAUAACCCGGAGAAAUCCGGCCUAAUACCGCGUAAUACCUUAGGGGAGCAUUCUCUUGAGGUUAAAGGAGAGAUCCGGCAUAGGAUGGACAUGCGUCGCAUUAGGUAGACGGCGGGGUAACGGCCCACCGUGCCGACGAUGCGUAGGGGUUCUGAGAGGAAGGCCCCCCACACUGGUACUGAGACACGGACCAGACUCCUACGGGAGGCAGCAGUGAGGAAUAUUGGUCAAUGGCCGAGAGGCUGAACCAGCCAAGUCGCGUGAGGGAAGAAUGUCCUAAGGAUUGUAAACCUCUUUUGUCGGGGAGCAAAAAGGCUCUGCGGAGUCGUAUUGAGAGUACCCGAAGAAAAAGCAUCGGCUAACUCCGUGCCAGCAGCCGCGGUAAUACGGAGGAUGCGAGCGUUAUCCGGAUUUAUUGGGUUUAAAGGGUGCGCAGGCGGCGUGUCAAGCAAGCGGUAAAAUAGCGGGGCUCAACCCCGUCGAGCCGUUUGAACUGGCGCGCUUGAGUUCAGGCGAGGUAGGCGGAAUUCGUGGUGUAGCGGUGAAAUGCAUAGAUAUCAUGAAGAACUCCGAUUGCGAAGGCAGCUUACCAGUCUGCGACUGACGCUCAGGCACGAAAGUGUGGGUAUCGAACAGGAUUAGAUACCUUGGUAGUCCACACAGUAAACGAUGAGCGCUAGGUGUCCGGGUCGAAUGAGGCUUGGGUGCCCGAGCGAAAGCGUUAAGCGCUCCACCUGGGGAGUACGCCGGCAACGGUGAAACUCAAAGGAAUUGACGGGGGCCCGCACAAGCGGAGGAACAUGUGGUUUAAUUCGAUGAUACGCGAGGAACCUUACCCGGGCUCAAACGACUCAGGAAUAUAUUGGAAACGAUGUAGCCAGCAAUGGUCUGAGUCGAGGUGCUGCAUGGUUGUCGUCAGCUCGUGCCGUGAGGUGUCGGCUUAAGUGCCAUAACGAGCGCAACCCCUACCGCCAGUUGCCAACGGGUAAAGCCGGGAACUCUGGCGGGACUGCCGGCGCAAGCUGCGAGGAAGGCGGGGAUGACGUCAAAUCAGCACGGCCCUUACGUCCGGGGCGACACACGUGUUACAAUGGCAGGUACAGCGGGAAGCCACCUGGUGACAGGGAGCGGAACCCGAAAGCCUGUCUCAGUUCGGAUUGGAGUCUGCAACUCGACUCCAUGAAGCUGGAUUCGCUAGUAA